rnacentral:snRNA from 1 species
GGGCUCGUUUCAGCAGCACAUGUACUAAAACUGGCACAAUACAGAGAAGAUUAGCAUGGCCCCUGCACAAGGGCGACAUGCAGAUUCGUGAGGCGUUCCAUAUUUUU